CAGCAGCCGCGGGAAUACAGAGGGUGCGAGCGUUAAUCGGAUUUACUGGGCGUAAGCGUGCGUAGGCGGCUUCUUAAGUCGGAUGUGAAAUCCCUGAGCUUAACUUAGGAAUUGCAUUCGAUACUGGGAAGCUAGAGUAUGGGAGAGGAUGGUAGAAUUCCAGGUGUAGCGGUGAAAUGCGUAGAGAUCUGGAGGAAUACCGAUGGCGAAGGCAGCCAUCUGGCCUAAUACUGACGCUGAGGUACGAAAGCAUGGGGAGCAAACAGGAUUAGAUACCCCGGUAGUCCCUGUCUCUUAUACA
rnacentral:rRNA from 1 species